rnacentral:tRNA from 1 species
GCGGGUGUGGCGAAAUUGGCAGACGCACUGGAUUUAGGUUCCAGCGCCGCAAGGCAUGGGGGUUCAAGUCCCUUCACCCGCACCA